rnacentral:tRNA from 1 species
GCGGAAGUGGCGGAACGGCAGACGCGCUAGCCUCAGGAGCUAGUGAGCUUCGGCUCGUGGGGGUUCAAAUCCCCCCUUCCGCACCA